rnacentral:rRNA from 1 species
UACGUAGGGGGCAAGCGUUGUCCGGAAUUAUUGGGCGUAAAGCGCGUGUAGGCGGCUUGGUAAGUCAGAUGUGAAAGCCCUCGGCUUAACCGAGGAAGUGCGUCUGAAACUGCUGAGCUUGAGUCUCGGAGAGGAUGGCGGAAUUCCGCAAGUAGAGGUGAAAUUCGUAAAUAUGCGGAGGAACACCGGUGGCGAAGGCGGCCAUCUGGACGAGUACUGACGCUGAGACGCGAAAGCGUGGGGAGCAAACAGG